rnacentral:tRNA from 1 species
GGUUUUGAGGCUUAGCUGGGUAAAGCUCCUGCCUUAUAAGUAGGAGAGUCUAUGUUUAAAUCCCAACAAAAUCU